UUUCGACGUAGGUAUAAGACGGGGUUGAGUGACGAAAUUGUGUUCGCAUAGUUUUCGCACCCCCUGUUUUGUUUAACCGACGACGAACGCGUGCACUUUUCUCCUGGUAGGACGUCGCAAUCCGUUGGGUGUCGGUCUACGGUUCGCGGUGGAGCCCGUUCUGACAAAUCCAUUGAUGAGCGGACCCGUGUUAUUCCUGACCGACUCGCUCGACGGUAUACAAAUGGUAUGUGGCCGCUUGAUUUAAAGCUUUCGACUCGUGGCAAGCGCACUCGAUGCGUUGGCGGUCGGACCUAGUGCCGAUCCUGACCUCUGGUGACUGUUGGCCACGAUGUUCUCGGAAAGAGCCGAUUACCGAUUUGCGACGCUAUAGCUUUGGGUACUUUCAGGACCCGUCUUGAAACACGGACCAAGGAGUCUAGCAUGUACGCAAGUCAUUGGGAAUCACUAAACCUAAAGGCGCAAUGAAAGUAAAGGUCUUCCUUGCGAGGACCUAGGGAAGAUGUGCGGUUAACCGUUAAAAGUUGCCGCGCCGCAUUCCCGGGGCGUCUCAUUCUCA
rnacentral:rRNA from 1 species